AAAGUGUCAGAGCCUUUACGUGGACCUUCUCAUGAAAAAGGAAACAGAAUAGUCAAUGGAAAAGGAAAAGGGCCUCCUGCAAAACAUCCUUCCUUGAAGCCUAGCACUGAAGUGGAAGAUCCUGCUGUGAAAGGAGCAGUACAAAGAAAGAAUGUACAGACAUUGAGAGCAGUGUUGAUUUUUGCAAUAUUAAUGGGAACCACUUAGCAUUUGCCUUGUGGUGUCUCCUCAGCUGUAUUCACAUAUUCCAUCACCUUUUCUUAAUGGAUAAUCAUGCAAGAACAAACCUUACCAGUGGCUUUAGAGGAAGAGCAAGAAAGGUGUGAAAGAAGUGAAAAGAAGCAAUCACAGCUAAUUUUAAAACAUGCACUCUGACAGAAAAGACAUCUGAGAAACAAAACAAGCAAAUUUGUUUUCCAUUUUGCACCUG
rnacentral:lncRNA from 1 species